AUACGUAGGGUGCAAGCGUUAAUCGGAAUUACUGGGCGUAAAGCGUGCGCGGGCGGUUUUGUAAGACAGAGGUGAAAUCCCCGGGCUCAACCUGGGAACUGCCUUUGUGACUGCAAGGCUAGAGUACGGCAGAGGGGGAUGGAAUUCCGCGUGUAGCAGUGAAAUGCGUAGAUAUGCGGAGGAACACCGAUGGCGAAGGCAAUCCUCUGGGCCUAUACUGACGCUCAUGCACGAAAGCGUGGGGAUCAAACAGGAUUAGAUACCCUGGUAGUCCGCGCCCGAAACGAUGUCAACUGUUUGUUGGGUCUUCAUUGAAUCAGUAACGAAGCUAACGCGUGAAGUUGACCGCCUGGGGAGUACGGCCGCAAGGUUGAAACUCAAAUGAAUUGGCGGGG
rnacentral:rRNA from 1 species